GCGCAUCGGCGCUGACCGUUCCUGGUGGCUCAGGGAAGCGGACACCUGGGCGCGGGAGCGGGGGAAAUAAUCCAAACGCGGGCUCGGCCGGCCUGGGCCUUGAUCAUCCGAGCCGCAUUUCUCACCCAGACCCGCGCCAGGCAGAAGCGCCGUCCGUCCCCGCCGCGGCGGCACGGACCCUGAAGCUUGAGUUCUGAAAACCCGCCCCUGACGCCGCCUGUGGUUCAGAGCUUAGCUUCUCGUCGCUUUCGCUAAACCUGGCACAGGCCUGGAACGUGCUGCGUUAUGAAAGCGGCUAUUCUCCACCUCCUGAAAACCCCGACUGCGUUAGUGUUCUGAACAUAACCUGUGUUUGAGCUCCAGCACCUACCCAGGUCUCAGUUAAGACAGUAUUUUGUCCCAACAAGGAGAGAAAAGUAACCGAGGCAAACAGGUGACGGAGAGAAGGAACAGCUCUAAUAUCUUCCAGCACCACACAUCAUGUGCUCUGACAAGUUUAAAAACUCAGAAGAUCAGACUGGCAUUUCCUGUUUUUACCCUGCAUGAUGUUUAUUUGGGCUGUCGUCAGGUGGAUGAGGAGCUCCAAUUUCAACCCAUAGUAAAGGAAUUUGGCCUUCUGUUGUAUAGAGGGUUGGUAAAGUAUUCUCAGAAUGUUUUAAAAAUAAAGUGGUGCUCGG
rnacentral:lncRNA from 1 species